GGUCUGUCUCUUAUAAUCGAAGCGUUCAUCGCCAAUCCAGUUAGGGCUAAAAAAUAUAGGCAUGGGGAGAGGGAAGAUCGUGAUUAGGAGAAUCGACAAUUCGACGAGCAGGCAGGUAACGUUCUCCAAGCGAAGAAACGGUUUACUGAAGAAGGCGAAGGAGCUCGCAAUCCUGUGUGACGCUGAGGUAGGAGUUAUGAUCUUCUCGAGCACCGGCAGGCUCUACGACUUCGCCAGCACAAGCAUGAAAUCAGUAAUCGAACGAUACGGCAAAACUAAAGAGGAAAAUCAUCAACUAGGAAGUUCAACUUCUGAAGUGAAGUUUUGGCAAAGGGAGGCAGCAAUGUUGAGGCAGCAAUUGCAGAACUUGCAAGAGAAUCAUCGGCAAAUAAUGGGAGAAGAACUUUCAGGUUUGACUGUCAAGGAAUUACAGAGUCUAGAGAGCCAGUUGGAAAUUAGCCUUCGAGGUGUCCGUUUAAAAAAGGAUCAACUUUUAAUGGAGGAAAUACAGGAAAUAAACCAAAAGGUCAGUUCCAAAACAAAGGAUUACCAGUUCUCCAAUUCUUCAUUAAUUCAAACGUGUUCAUUUUCUGCAGGGAAACCUCUUACAGGAAGAAAAUGUGGAACUUCGAAAGAAGGUAAACCUAGUUCAUCAAGAAAACAAGGAAUUAAAAAAGAAGGUCUAUGGAAAAAUAGAUGGAAAUGGAACAGACAGAAACUCAGCUCUCACGGAUGGCCUAGGCAUAGGAGAGAAUUUGCACGUGCCAGUAAAUCUCCAGCUUAGUCAACCUCAUCAGCAAAACCAUGAGCCACCCUCGGGAGGCACAGAGUUGGGAUUGCAGCUGCACUGACGCAUCUACAGGUGAAUUCUGUACAUUGAUUGCUAUCAAGUAAAUGGGCUCAGAUCUGGGAUGUAUGCUUUCUGAUACUAAAAUGCAUUACAUACACUAUAAACCAAUUUAAAAUUAUUUUUAACAAAGUAAUUCUAGCAUGCUUGUGAUAAACAGUGAACAGAGCAUUUAAUGUAAUGUUAUGACUAAAUAAACCAAGAAAUUCUUAGA